GAAGUGCGAUAAGCAAUGCGAAUUGCAGAAUUCCGCGAAUCAUCAGAUCUUUGAACGCAAAUGGCGCCAGAGGGAUAUCCUUCUGGCAUGUCUGUUUCAGUGUCUGAGAGGUUUCACAAUAAUCUUAAUGUGAUUGAAUUCAGCUUGUUUGUUGAUUGGUUGGUUUCUUCGGAAACUGAUUACUUACUACCUGCUCUUUUCUCUCAUGAAAGAUGCGCGAGGGGAUCUUUCGGUCCAAUGAAGUGGUCACAUCACUCGAAUGUGAUUUCAUUGGAAGCACCGAAUUAUCAUUAUUAUUUAACUCGCGGUAUCAUAUCAUAAUUAUUAUUGUUUAAGUGCUAGAUGUUCCUCGUUGAACUGCUUAGCAUUUAAGUAAAUAAAUAUACUCUCUAUACCCUGCAUCUGAGAUAGGCAAGAUCACCCGCUGAACUUAA
rnacentral:misc_RNA from 1 species